UGAAGAAGUCAUAAUUAUAUA
rnacentral:piRNA from 1 species